GAGGAGGAGGAGUGGAGGCAAGUGGAGAACCCAUGAUCUUUUAUACAAUAACAUACAAAAUAGGAUUAAUGAAAAGAGGAUCAAUCAUAAGUUUUUUUUUGGAAGGCAAAAGUAUAAUAUUAUUAAACAAAACCCCACCACAGAAGAAGACAAGACAAAUUAACCAAAGGACUCCGAAAGAUUGGUAGUUGUGCUUUUUAAUUGUGAUUUGGGGCAACCAUGUUAUAAAAAGUCUAUUACAUGUAAUCAACAGUCAACGUAUGCUUGAUGGAAUAUAAAUACUAUAUCUUCAAAAAUACACAUGUACAUGGCAUCCUUAGGACUUCAUCCAGCUUAUGUGUUUCAUCAUCCACCACCCUUUUGUUCUCUACCUUCUCACGUUUGUUGUUGUUAAACCCAUAUUUAUGCUUUCUUCCCUUCAUGUCUUGUUUUAUCACAACUUUACCCGAAUUUCCUAUCUUCAGCACAGUUGAAUCUCUUGUCUUAUUCUCCAAUGACACACUUUGAUGACCUGUAUCUCUUUUCUUCGUAUGUUCUAGUGGUUCAGCUUCAGAAUGCAUAGAGCAAUCAAAAUUUUCCUGUGAUCACCAAAGGCUUCUGCAUCGGCGUUGACACUCUCUACCUUCUUUGGUUUAUGCUUCUGUGUUGCAUUCCGUGCUUCCUCCUUAUAAUUCUCAGAUUUAUUGGAGGUCUCACUAGAAGGAUCAGCACCAAUCCGUGCCUGUUCCUCCUCUACCAGCUCAAUAUCUUUCGUUUCACCUUUGCUUUUGUAAACUACACUGUAAUUUACAAAACAAAAGUUGAAAGGAAAGAUAUUGAGCUGGUAGACGAGGAAGAAGCACAGAUUGGUGCUGAUUGUUCUAGUGCAACCUCUAAUAAAUUUGAGAUUUAUAACGAGGAAGCACGGAAUGCAGCACAAAAGCAUAAACCAAAGAGGGUGGAGAGUGUCAAUGCUGAUGCAGAAGCCUUUGGUGAUCACUGGAAAAUUUAGAUUGCUUUAUGCAUUCUGAAGCUGAAACACUAGAACAUACGAAGAAAAGAGAUAUAUAUAGGCCAUCAAAGUGUGUCAUUGGAGAAUAAGACAGGAGAUUCAACUGUGCUGAAGAUAGGCAAUUCGGCUAAAGUUGUGAUAAAACAAGACAUGAAGGGAUGAAAGCAUAAAUAUGGGUUUAACAACAAUAAACGUAAGAAUAAAAUGACUUGUUUAGAUGUUAUUCCUUCUGGUUCGAGUAAUAAUAACCAUGACAAUUCUCUCCAUGUUUUCAUCCCUCUUAUUACUAGCUUUUUUGAAUUCUUUAGUUCCUGAAUGUACAACCUUCAAAUUGUUGUUCAUUGUAAACAGCACAAAGUGGACCUUGUCUGUCUCCAAGAAACCAAAAGGGAGAAAUUUAAUAAAAGUAUUUGCCAGGCCAUUUGGGGGGACUCGACUGCCCAUUAGGAUUAUGUUCUUUCUGUGCAGGCUGCUGGUGGCCUAUUAUGUUUGUGGAAUAACUCCAUUUUUGAGGUGGAUAGGAGAGAGAAAGGUAGAAGUUUUUUAAUGCUUGAAAGGACAUGUAUUAGUAAUAAUCAGAGGAUGAUGAUUGUCAAUGUCUAUGCUCCCUGUGAUCUGGUUGGGAAGAAAGCUUUAUGGGAUGAUCUGAGGCAGUUGAAGGCCUCUAAUCCUAGUGGAUUGUGGUGUUUUCUUGGGGACUUCAAUAGCAUUAGAAGUUCUAAGGAAAGAAUCAGCUUAUCUCAAAGAAGGGCCGAUCCAUAUGAUAUUUCAGCUUUUAAUCAGUGGAUUUCUGAUAUGGAGCUUCAGGAAAUUAAAUGUGCUGGGAACAGUUUUACAUGGAUCAGGCCUAAUGGUUGUGUGAAAAGCAGGCUUGAUAAAUUCUCUCAUCUCAAAUAUGGGUGAUUUUAAUCAUGAUAGUUGGGGGUGGAACCUCAGGUUGAGGAGGAAUUUAUUUGAUCAUGAAAGUGAUUUAGCUAUGCAAUUUAUGGAGGAAAUCUGUUCUAUUCCUAUACAGAGGCAUAUUAAAGACUCUAUGAUGUGGUUGGCUGAAACCCAUGGUCAAUACACUACUAAAUCAGCUUACAGUUUAUGCAUUAACCCUAGUACAACAAGUUCAAAUGGGAAGAUCUAUAAGACAAUUUGGAAGUUGAAAAUCCCCCCUCAGGCAAUGGUUUUCUAUUGGAGGCUUCUUAAAAAUAGACUCCCCACCAAGGAAAAUCUUCUAAGAAGAAACAUCAAUAUGCAGGAAGAUAAUUGCCCUCUGUGUGGAAGUGUACAGGAGGAUGUGGGUCACUUAUUUUUCAAUUGUAAUUUGACAAGAGGUUUGUGGUGGGAAGCCAUGAGAUGGAUUCGGGUAGCAGGUCCCCUUCCAAUCACACCUAAGUGCCACUUUAUUCAAUUCUGUGAAGGCUUUGCGGAACUUGUGAAUCAUAAUACAAGGUGUGGGUGGUGGAUUGCCUUAACUAGCUCUAUAUGGCAGCAUAGGAACCAAACUGAUUUUCCAAGGAAAACCUUUUGAUCCCUAUAAAGUCAUGGAUCAUGCUAUCUUCUUAGUUUGGUCCUGGCUGAAGGCUAAAGAAAAAGAUUUCAAUAUCAGCUUCAACCAUUGGUCUUCCAAUAUAUCGAAUUCCUUUGGAUAGUUUGACUGGGCUUUCAUACUAUUGUUAUAUUAGGGUGGGUUGUUAUUUUGGAGGGCAGCACUUAGGUGCCUUGUAAUCUCUUUUUCUGGUACCACUGGUACUGGUUUGCCUAUUAAUAAUAUAUAUAUAUAUAUAUAUAUAUAUAUAUAUAUAUAUAUAUAUAUAUAUAUAUAUAUAUAUAUAUUGCCUUCAAAAAAAAAACAAGCUUUAACAACUACCAAAACCAGUUGUAUGCCAUUCCCCUUAAGGUGUUGCUGUCAUGCAUACUUUCCCAAAAACACUAUAGUACAGCAAAUGUCCCUCCACAAGACACGUCAUCAAAACCCGUUUCCUCUUUGGUUAGCCAUCUGAACCAUAAACAACGAUAUACACUAUAGUACUAGCUGAUAACACGUAGAUAGACAGAUAGCAAUCAACCUUGAACAAAACCAUAGAAAUACAUAUAUGCCCAGCUAAAUACCUUAAGAAUAUUACUUCAUUUUCUGGCAGAUUUUCUUGUUCCAUCUCAUUGAAAACCUUGAUUGCUUCUUGUCCUUGACCAUGAAAUCCAUAAGUAGAAGCAAUCAUUGAGUUCCACAACUCAAGGGAUUGUGUGGCAGCCUAUUAUAAGGAAGUUUGAAGCCAAACUUGCAAAAUGGAAGCAAAGAAGCCUAUCUAUGGGGGGCAGAAUCACUCUCAUUAAUUCAGUUUUAUCAGCCUUAUCUAGUGGCGAUACUAUCUAUGGGGGGCAAAAUGGAAGCAAAGAAGCCUAUCUAUUGUGUGGCUGGGGGAUAAUUUAACUCUACAAGCAUAAUAUCCUACUUUGUAUUUAAUAAGCAAUUAGAAGACCUUUCUAUUUCUAUUUUUUACACAUUUAAAACUCAAACAUAUAAUAUAUAAAAUAUAUAACAAACUAACAAAGAUAAAGACAAAAAAAAGGAAAUAUAAACUCACCUCACUUGCUGCUGCUGCCCAUCAUUUCACUCUCACAACAAAUAGGAAUCAUGUACAUGCAUGGACGGAUCCACAUAAAGCUCUAAGGAGAUGAUUGCUCCCAUUAAGAUAUUUUUUGUAGUUAAAUAUAUUUAAUAAAAAAAUUACUCCCAUAAAAAAAAUCAAAAUGAAUGGUUUCAAGACAUGAUCGGUUGCUAAAUUAAGCAACUAACAUGAGAGUACAAAGCCAUGCUGCUCCAAUAAUAUAUAUGAGAUGCAAAAUGGGAAAAUUUAACAACUACAAUGGAAAUCUUUGUAUGCAAGGAAAAUGAAUCAGACAACACACAAGUGGCUUGACACGGGUGGAAAGAGAUGGUGGCAAGUGAAAACUUUGGCACUCAACAUAGACUGUAUAUAGACUGAAAAUACAGUUUGAUUUUUGAUUUUUGAUUUUUUAUUUAUACUUUUCCUGAUUGAAAAUUGAAAUCAACCCAAACUUUAAAUGAUGGUGAGCCUAAACAUUUCCACUAAACCGGUGGCAGUCUUUAUCAGCACCAAGUAACGUGUCUAGUGUGAAAGGCUAAGAAAAAAAAAUACAACAAUUAUAUAAGAGUGAUGGUGCUAGAUGUUGGAUUAAAGCCUUGAAUGGUCAAAAUAACAUUAUUGUAUCAACGAGAUGUGACAUUUUCUAGAAAAUACCCUGUUACUUUAGAAAAUAGUGUUUCAAAUAACAAAAGAGAAUUAAGAAGAGUGAUGUUAUUAUUAUUUUUUAUAAUAUCCUCAUACUAGCUAGUUCUUUUAAUAUUUUAUAAAAAAUUAAUUAAUUAAUUAAUUUUUUAUCUUAAAAAUACACAAAAAAACAUUACUUGAUUUAUGUAGUAAAAAAAAGGAGGAGAUUAAUAUUCUGCAAUAUGCCUAAGGUGGCAGGAUAACCCUCAUCAAUUUUGUCUUAACAGCCCUCCCUAUUUACCUUCUCUUUUUUUUAGAAUCCCUAAAAAAGAGGUGCAUAAGGUAGUUUCUAUUCAGAGGAAUUUUUUGUGGGGUGGAGGUUCUGAGGCAGCCAUGAUACAGUGGGUCAAUUGGGAUAUUGUUUGUCUUCCCAAGAACAAAGGGGGGCUUGGGAUUAAAGAUAUGUCCAAGUUUAAUGAGGCCUUGAUUGGUAAAUGGGGAUGGGACUUGGCAAAUAACCAGAAUCAGCUUUGUGCUAGACUCUUGAUGUCCAAAUAUAUAUGGUGGGUGGAAUGCUUUAUGUUAUGGUAGAAACAGUGUAGACUUCUCCCCUUGGUGGAAGGAUCUAAGAGUUGUUUUCCAGCAGCAACAUAGUAUCAGUCUCAUCAAUAAUAUGAGGUGGAAGGUGGGUGAUGGGGUCCGGAUUAGGUUUUGGAAGGAUAAAUGGAGAGUAGGAGACUUAACCCUACAAGACAAAUACCCAGUAUUGUACCAAGUGAGUACUCAGCAGAACCACUCCAUAAACUCAAUGGGCCUCUUAUAUAUGAAUAUAAUUAUAUUUGCUGAGCAAAAAAAAAAUCUAUAGUAGUUGUGUUUGGCAGGAUUUGCCUUUGUAUCUAUUUGCUAUUUUCAGUACAUCUAGUACUGAACUAUUAUUAAUAUAAUUAAUUUUUGCUGUGCAAAAAAAAAAACAGACCAACUUUGGAACAGGAUUCUGGUUUCUAAAUACAAUGGUUGGAGGGGUUUGGGUUAGGGGCCUAGAAAGCUAUACUUCUCUACUUGGUGGGCUGACUUAAGGGUCAUCAUAAUGGAAAGGAAAAACAUGCAUUCCUGAGUCUAAAUUAGCUCUGUCUGGUACUUUAUCUAUUCUAAUAUAAAUUAUCUUUGCUUUCCAAAAAAAAAACAUGCAUUCCAAGCAUCAUCAUAGCUCAAACCACUACACUCUUUAUUAGACAAGGCACCACACUGGACAGGAGAAUGGGACCCCAUUUUGAAAUCCCUCCAGCAUGUCUCAUAGCACUUGUAAGCAACUAUAAUGACUUAGUAUCGUCUUAGUCUAAUUUAAAUCUCCAAAUUCACAGAAACAUGAACGGGUAACAAAACAUAUUGUUUGGAAAAAUAAUCAUAUUGCCUAGUCUCAGCUUACUCAAAUAUCAAUCAUAUUAGUUAGUCUAACUAGGGUUUCGAAACAUCACAACAGAGACAGACCAUUGAACAAUGGAUUUUCAUCAUUAACAUACAACAGAGACAUACCUUCGAUGGCUUCCCUGGGAGUCUUAAAGCCAAGCACAAUGGACUUCCAAAAUCGAGUCCCACCCUUUCCGGGACUCGAUUUUUUCCUAGUUUUCUUCGACCUGCGAAAGUGAGCAAAUGUUCAAACGAGGAACGCCUAAUGUUAAAACCAAAGGACGUACCUCAAAAGAUAAGUGCUAGACACGAACUCCACAAACACGAACUCGACAAUGUGGUUGCAGUCACGGAAGCGCAGCCCAGUUUGUGACAAACACCAACUCAGGCAGAAGGAGAAACAACAAGAACGCCCUGGGAGUACUCUUUCUGGGACUCUUUCCUUUCCUAGUUUUCUUCGACCUGCGAAAGUGAGCAAAUUUUAAAACGACGAACGCCUAAUGUUAAAACGAAAGGACGUACCUCAAUCGAUAAGUGGCAGAGACGAUCUCCACAAACACGAUCUCCACAAUGUGGUUGCAGUCACAGAAGCGUAGGCCAGUUUGAGACAAAGACGAACUCAGGUAGAAGGAGAAAGAAGAAGAACGAUAGGGUUCAAGCGCGCGGGUUGUGCAAUUUCAGAUUUUUAAUAUAUAAUGAUAACAACAUCUGUUUUUUUAAAAAUAACCGAUGUUAACAUCAACUACGUAACAUCAGUUUUCUUAAAACCGAUGUUAACAUCGACUCG
rnacentral:lncRNA from 1 species